AAUAGUCCUGUAUGUUAAACGAGAAGACUUUAGAUAUGAUCCAGAGUACCACGGGACACGUGAAACCCUGUGGGAAGCAGGAGGGACCACCCUCCAAGGCUAAAUACUACCUAGUGACCGAUAGCGUAUAGUACCGUGAGGGAAAGGUGAAAAGAACCCCGGGAGGGGAGUGAAAUAGAACCUGAAACCCUGCACUUACAAGCUGUGGAAGCACAUUUCUUGUGUGACCGCGUACUUUUUGUAGAACGGGCCAACGAGUUACGUUAAGUAGCAAGGUUAAGCACUUAAGGUGCGGAGCCGUAGCGAAAGCGAGUUUUAACUGAGCGUUCAGUUACUUGACGUAGACCCGAAACCGGGCGACCUACCCAUGAGCAGGAUGAAGCGAAAGUAAAAUUUCGUGGAGGUCCGAACCCACGAGCGUUGAAAAGCUCGGGGAUGACUUGUGGGUAGCGGUGAAAUUCCAAUCGAGCCCGGAGAUAGCUGGUUCUCCCCGAAAUAGCUUUAGGGCUAGCCUCAAGGUGAGAGAUACGGAGGUAGAGCACUGAAUGUCCUAGGGGGUAUUGCACCUACCGAAGACUAUCAAACUCCGAAUGCCGUCAUCUUAUACUUGGGAGUCAGACUGUGGGUGAUAAGAUUCAUAGUCGAAAGGGCAACAGCCCAGAUCGUCAGCUAAGGUCCCUAAAUGUAAGUUAAGUGGUAAAGGAUGUGGGAUUGCACAGACAACCAGGAUGUUGGCUUAGAAGCAGCCACUCAUUCAAAGAGUGCGUAAUAGCUCACUGGUCGAGUGAUCCUGCGCCGAAGAUUUCCGGGGCUAAAACUUACUACCGAAGCUACGGCAUCAGUAAUGAUGGGUAGGG
rnacentral:rRNA from 1 species